AGAGUUUGAUCCUGGCUCAGGACGAACGCUGGCGGCGUGCUUAACACAUGCAAGUCGAGCGGAAAGGCCCUUCGGGGUACUCGAGCGGCGAACGGGUGAGUAACACGUGAGCAACCUGCCCCUGGCUCUGGGAUAGCUCCCGGAAACGGGGAUUAAUACCGGACAUGACUCCCUUGGGCAUCUGGGGGGGUGGAAAGUUUUUCGGCCAGGGUGGGGCUCGCGGCCUAUCAGCUUGUUGGGGGGGUGACGGCCCACCAAGGCGACGACGGGUAGCCGGCCUGAGAGGGCGACCGGCACACUGGGACUGAGAACGCCCAGACUCCUACGGGAGGCAGCAGUGGGGAAUAUUGCGCAAUGGGCGGAAGCCUGACGCAGCGACGCCGCGUGCGGGAUGAAGGCCUUCGGGUUGUAAACCGCUUUCACCAGGGACGAAGCGUGAGUGACGGUACCUGGGGAAGAAGCGCCGGCUAACUACGUGCCAGCAGCCGCGGUAAUACGUAGGGCGCAAGCGUUGUCCGGAAUUAUUGGGCGUAAAGAGCUCGUAGGCGCGCUCUGCUGUGAAAUCCGGGGCUUAACCCCGGGCGUGCAAUGGAUACGGCCGGCUGGAGCAGGCAGGGGAGAAUGGAAUUCCCGGUGUAGCGGUGAAAUGCGCAGAUAUCGGGAGGAACACCGGUGGCGAAGGCGGUUCUCUGGCCUGUACUGACGCUGAGGAGCGAAAGCGUGGGGAGCGAACAGGAUUAGAUACCCUAGUAGUCC
rnacentral:rRNA from 1 species